UACAGAGGGUGCAAGCGUUAAUCGGAAUUACUGGGCGUAAAGCGUGCGUAGACGGUUAUUUAAGUCAGGUGUGAAAGCCCAGGGCUCAACCUUGGAAUUGCAUUUGAGACUGAAUAGCUAGGGUGCGGAAGAGGGAAGCGGAAUUUCCGGUGUAGCGGUGAAAUGCGUAGAUAUCGGAAGGAACACCAGUGGCGAAAGCGGCUUCCUGGUCCAGCACCGACGUCAGGCACGAAAGCGUGGGGAGCAAACGGG
rnacentral:rRNA from 1 species